CACACAAAACACAACUCACACUUGUUCUCUCUCUCUCUCUCUAUCUCUCUCUCUUACUCUCUCUCUUUGCCGUUUCCACUUUUAGAGAAAAAACUUUAAACCCUAACUCUUUUGUUUUGCUCAAGUCUCUCUUUGUGACUCUCGUUCUGUUUAUGUUCAUUGUGGUUCCAUUGUUAAUAAUCGAACAAACUUGAUGUAUUGAAGGGUUGAAGUAUCACCAUACAUUUAUUAUUAAAGGUUUAUGGCUGAAAUUAAUUUUAUUUGUGAAUUAAAAUGAUAUGCAGUACCAUUGAAGGCUUAAAUGUUGUUAUGUUGAUUUAUGGUCUCAUAGUUCAUCAUCAAUCAAUGAAAAAAUAGGACAAUAUCUAAAUUUUGAAGGAAAAAUAAUCAAUUUAAAAGUGAGACAAAAUUAGAUUAAUAUAUUGAUAAAUCAAAGUAAUACUAUUUUGAUUAGUUUUGCAUUGUAAAAGGGUUAAUUACUCAAAGAAAAACUGGGUCAAAAAUAGUUUAAUAUUGAAUGAAUAAAUUAACAAAAUUGUUGUACG